rnacentral:rRNA from 1 species
CCUACGGGUGGCAGCAGUGGGGAAUAUUGGGCAAUGGAGGCAACUCUGACCCAGCAACGCCGCGUGAAUGAUGAAGGUCUUCGGAUUGUAAAGUUCUGUGAUCGGGGAUGAACACAAUGACGGUUCCCCAAUAGCACGCCACGGCUACCUACGUGCCAGCAGCCGCGGUACUACGUGGGUGGCAAGCGUUAUCCGGAAUGACUGGGCGUAAAGGGUGCGUAGGGGGUUUAGGAAGUUCGCGGUGUAAUUCCGGGGCUCAACCGCGGGGCUACCGCCAAAACUAUUAGACUAGAGUGCAGGAGGGGUAAGUGGAAUGCCUAGUGUAGCGGUGGAAUGCGUAGAUAUUAGGAGGAACACCAGUGGCGAAGGCGACUUACUGGACUGUAACUGACGCUGAGGCACGAAAGCGUGGGGAGCAAACAGGAUUAGAUACCCCUGUAGUC